GACGAACGCUGGCGGCGUGCUUAACACAUGCAAGUCGAACGAAGUGGCGCACGGGUGAGUAAUACGUGAGUAACCUGCUCUCAUUUUUGGGAUAAGCCUUGGAAACGGGGUCUAAUACCGGAUAAAGGGGGAUGGGAUCGCGGCCUAUCAGUUUGUUGGGGGUGUGAUGGCCUACCAAGGCGGUGACGGUUAGCCGGCCUGAGAGGGUGAACGGCAACGGUGGGACUGACAUACGGCCCAGGCUCCGAAGAGGGGGGGCAGUGGGGGAGAUUGCACAAAGCGCGAAAGAGUGAUGCAGCGUCGCCGCAUGAGGUAUUAGGGUUUUCGGGUUGUAAACCGCUUUCGCUAGCGAACGGGUAGGUGGAGAAGAAGCGCCGGCUAACUACGUGCCAGCAGCCGCGGUAAUAC
rnacentral:rRNA from 1 species